UUGGGCUAUGGUGGCGGUACCGGAAACGGCCGCAAAGGCUUUAAGCAGCCUUGAGACACCUACGGCCCAUUU
rnacentral:ncRNA from 1 species